CUGGCGGCGUGCUUACACAUGCAGUCGAACGAAGCCUCGGGCUUAGUGGCGGACGGGCGAGUACGCGUGAGAAUCUACCUUCGAGAUGGGGACAACCGUUGGAAACGACGGCUAAUCCCCAAUAAGCCGAAAGGUGAAAGGGUUUCCGCUCGCAGAGGAGCUCGCGUCCGAUUAGUUAGUUGGUGGGGUAAGAGCCUACCAAGGCAGCGAUCGGUAGCUGGUCUGAGAGGAUGAGCAGCCACACUGGGACUGAGACACGGCCCAGACUCCUACGGGAGGCAGCAGUGGGGAAUUUUCCGCAAUGGGCGCAAGCCUGACGGAGCAACGCCGGGUGUGGGAAGAAGGCUCUUGGGCUGUCAACCACUUUUCUCAGGGAAGAAGUCCUGACGGUACCUGAGGAAUCAGCCUCGGCUAACUCCGUGCCAGCAGCCGCGGUAAUACGGAGGAGGCAAGCGUUAUCCGGAAUUAUUGGGCGUAAAGCGUCCGCAGGGGGCACUUCAAGUCUGCUGUCAAAGGUCGGAGCUUAACUCCGGUUCGGCAGUGGAAACUGGAGUGCUAGAGGGCGACAGGGGUAGAGGGAAUUCCCAGUGUAGCGGUGAAAUGCGUAGAGAUUGGGAAGAACACCGGUGGCGAAAGCGCUCUACUGGGUCGCACCUGACCCUCAGGGACGAAAGCUAAGGUAGCGAAAGGGAUUAGAUACCCCUGUAGUCUUAGCCGUAAACGAUGGAUACUAGGCGUGGUUUGUAUCGACCCAAGCCGUGCCGAAGCUAACGCGUUAAGUAUCCCGCCUGGGGAGUACGUACGCAAGUGUGAAACUCAAAGGAAUUGACGGGGGCCCGCACAAGCGGUGGAGGAUGUGGUUUAAUUCGAUGCAACGCGAAGUACCUUACCAGGGCUUGACAUCCCGCGAAU
rnacentral:rRNA from 1 species